UUUGGCUUUCUGGCCUUCCUCCCCUCAUCUUCCCGGUGCUGACCCUGCCGCCCUCUUCUACAGCUUCUAAGACCGAGACAAAGCCGCACUGACCCAAGCAGUCCACGACCAGCCAGCUGCCCCCAGACACAGUUCCCUCACUCCUGGUCGGAAGACACUUGAAUACAGAUUCUGCGCUGGCAGAGGAGUGCCGGCGCCUCCAGCUCCCUCAGCUCAGGACCUCUCCCCUGGCAGGAGCAGGGGGUGGAAAGCGUGCGAGCACGCUGGAGCUGAGGAAGCAGCAGGAAGGAGGGGUGUGUGCCAGUGCCAUAGACUCGACCAGGGCCUUCCACGUGCCUUCGCUCCUGUCACGGUCACGUAACCUUCUGAGGGACCAUGCACAGAGGGACAGCAGAGGAGCGGAGCUGGCA
rnacentral:lncRNA from 1 species